ensembl:lncRNA
AGAUCAGAUAGAAAAGGUGUUGCAGGGAGUAGUCUGUAAGUUUAACUCUGCCUAGCUCUGGAUGUAGACUUUCUGGUUCUACUGCCACUCUUCAGAAAUGUGAAGAAGAGAUUGAAAAUGUGGUGUGCAGAAGCCAGGAAGGAAAAUCUCAUGCUUUUAAGAACUCUGCUCUGUAAUUGGAUGAAUCUACCUUCUCUGCUUAAAAGUAGAGAAGACAGAUGAAUGAGCUUGAGCUGUACUUUCAAGGCUUACCACAUGUAGCAGUCUGAAGGGGAUCUGUGGAGUUUGUCUUGAGAAAAUACCACUGUUUGGGAACUAUUCCAGCUCCCAGAUGCUGAGCAUUUUGCUGUUGACCUCAUUUUGACUAGUUAGGUUUCAUGUGGGUUGGUGAGUUGAAUUGCCUCAUGGAGAGUCGCGGGAGCUGAAGGCUGACACAAGUUGAGCAACAAAGUGGGAGAAGAAGGGGGGAGAGUUGGGCUUGCUCAAAAUCCAGCAACACCUCUUUCACUAAUUGGAUACUAGGAGCUUUAAAUACUGUCACUUAUCUAACCUUUUACAAUUAAUAUUAAUGGAAAUUAAUUACCAGGAAAAAGGAGGUGUUCUACUGUCAUCAUUAGGAAGAUGUGGAACAGUUUAUCAUGAAAACUAUUUACUGGCAUGUGAAGAACAGAAGUUUGAUUGUAAACAUCCAGUGUGGAUCUACCAAGAGCAAAUUGUGCUGGACCAACCUGGAUUGACUGUUACGGUGAAGUGACACUGCUGUGCACGAAGAGCCUGUGACUUUGUCCUCAAGACUCAAGCCUGAAGAAAACAUCCAGCUUGAAUCUUAUUUCUAUCUUUCUAUCAAAAACCUGGUGCUUGGUCACCAGGCCUCACCUCCUUCCAAAGAUGCUGUGUGGGGAAGUAGCGCCUGGCUGAGCAGGGCUCCCUCUGACCUUCCUUCUACUCCUGCCUAGAAGUGGCCAGCAUCCCACAUCUGCCCCACACCUGGAUGAUGUAAAAGAGGAGAACCUUAAUUAGCGAACAUGGAAGCUGUUUGUUUUCCUUCCCCUCGUGACCAAUUCCUUCAGCAGGUGAGGAGCUUGUAUAGGCCUUCUGCUCUCCCCUCAGAUCUCUUCGAGAGCUGACGUAGUUCUGUGCUUCUUGACAUCAGCUGAUCCUCUUCAAACUGUUUCCCCAAGAUGUGGUUUGUCAACAGACAGAGAAAUCAAAGAAGCAAGAGUUUGCUUUGUUUCUCAUCCAGGGAGGCCAUCAGUGGAGACCUCCUCUCAGCUGUCCUACAACCAUUCAAGCACGAGACUGGGACAUGCCAAAGUUCAACUGAGCUCCAGGAGUUACCGAGGAAAAAAAGAAGCAUAUGGCCACCAGUGAAAUCUAAAGGGCCAAAGAGAAUAACUAGGGUUUAUGCAUAAAAGCUGGAUAGAACCGAGCUCUCUCACAUGGGUCAGGUUGAUGGUUGGGCUCAAUGUUCUUGAAGUUCUUUUCCAGCCUAGAUGAUUCUAGGGCUUAUGCAAUUUGUGAUGAGCCAAGCAAAGACCUUUCUCCCAGUCAGCAUUAUGUAAAAUGGUUGCAUUCACAGCUUGAGACCGUUUUCUUCCUGAGCUGGGAUUCCUUAGGUGAUCAAAUGCACUGUUAAAGAGACGGAAAGCAGCCUGUUCCAUCCCUUGACUGUUAUGGUAUAGCAAAUAUUAUGUAUAACUGACUGAUUUUUGUGAGAGCCAUGAAAAGUGUAUGAGCUUGCAAAAGGUUUAUGUAUGUUUUAUAGCUGAAACAACCAUGAGAGUAAAACUACAUUGUUUUACUCUUUCAUGCUUCCUUUCUGCUUUUAGAUCACGUUGCCCGUGAAGUCAAGCGGGAGGUUCUUAAUUUCUGCAAAUGUCUCUGGGAAAAUGUAGCACUACAGUUAUGUAUUUACGAAAUGGCAUUAAGUACGUUGUAAAUUCUAUCAAUCAAACUGAAUGUUGCCAAAUGGGAUAUUAUGUUUGUUAAUGAAACAUGUUUCCCAUUCACACUCCCUAAUGGAGCAGGAAACAGAGACUACAGCACCUUUUCUGUAAUUCCCUGCAGCCAGAAUUUUGUUUCCCAGAACUAACUCCACUGGGGGUGUUCCACCAUUGGAUCACUCCAUCUUAUUUCCAGUACAAUGGGAUUUUCAGCAAUGAUAAUUAUGCUUUGAAAAUGCUAAGUGACAAGCUCAUAGCUGGUAUAAAGCAAUUCAAAUGAACCUAUGCUAGUUUCAUGUCAUAGCCACUGUGUGCAUGUAGUAGAAAAGCAAAAGCUUUAAGCCCUGUGAACAUUUCUUUUUAAUUAGAAACAUUGCUACGGAAAAGGCAUAACUUCUCUAUUUCUUUUCUAUUUUUUUUUUAAUCCGCAAGUAAAUGGAUGUUGGACUAGGAUGAUCCUUUGUGAUCAGAAAGUUCAGUAUGAUCUUACUAAAUGUAGAAAUACUUUGAAAGUGGAUAGUCUUGCAGAUCUCAAUAGCUUUGAAAGCCUGGCAAGCUAUGGCUCCUAAAAAUUGGAAGCCAAUAAUGUGAAAGCAUGUAAAUUGUAUACCAGGUAGGAGAAAACCACCUUCUGAUUUGUAAAAAAUCAUGGUUUUUU